rnacentral:rRNA from 1 species
AACCUCCGCAAUGUGAGAAAUCGCGACGGGGGGAUCCCAAGUGCCAUUCUCAACGGGAUGGCUUUUCUUAAGUGUAAAAAGCUUUUGGAAUAAGAGCUGGGCAAGACCGGUGCCAGCCGCCGCGGUAACACCGGCAGCUCUAGUGGUAGCUGUUUUUAUUGGGCCUAAAGCGUUCGUAGCCGGUUUGAUAAGUCACUGGUGAAAUCUUGUAGCUUAACUGUGAGAAUUGCUGGUGAUACUGUUGAACUUGAGGUCGGGAGAGGUUAGCGGUACUCCCAGGGUAGAGGUGAAAUUCUGUAAUCCUGGGAGGACCACCUGUGGCGAAGGCGGCUAACUGGAACGAACCUGACGGUGAGGGACGAAAGCCAGGGGCGCGAACCGGAUUAGAUACCCGGGUAGUCCUGGCCGUAAACGAUGCGGACUUGGUGUUGGGAUGGCUUUGAGCCGCUCCGGUGCCGAAGGGAGCUGUUAAGUCCGCCGCCUGGGAAGUACGGUCGCAAGACUGAAACUUAAAGGAAGU